UCUCGAUAGCGUAAAAGUUAAGUCAAAUUAGUAUGGAGUUGGAAAGUUUGUCUAUGUUUGUCGCUAGGGGCACUGUACCUGCUGCAUAUAAACUUCAGGUAACUUUAACGCUAUCGA
rnacentral:pre_miRNA from 9 species